UAAUACGUAGGGUGCGAGCGUUAAUCGGAAUUACUGGGCGUAAAGGGUGCGCAGGCGGUUCUGUAAGUCAGAUGUGAAAUCCCCGGGCUUAACCUGGGAAUUGCGUUUGAAACUACAGGGCUAGAGUGUAGCAGAGGGGGGUGGAAUUCCAUGUGUAGCAGUGAAAUGCGUAGAGAUAUGGAAGAACAUCGAUGGCGAAGGCAGCCCCCUGGGUUAACACUGACGCUCAGGCACGAAAGCGUGGGGAGCAAACAGGAUUAGAUACCCUGGUAGUCCACGCCCUAAACUAUGUCAACUAGUUGUCGGGCCUUAUUAGGUUUGGUAACGUAGCUAACGCGUGAAGUUGACCGCCUGGGGAGUACGGUCGCAAGAUUA
rnacentral:rRNA from 1 species